GACGAACGCUGGCGGCGUGCUUAACACAUGCAAGUCGAACGGAAAGGCCCUGCUUUUGUGGGGUGCUCGAGUGGCGAACGGGUGAGUAACACGUGAGUAACCUGCCCUUGACUUUGGGAUAACUUCAGGAAACUGGGGCUAAUACCGGAUAGGAGCUCCUGCUGCAUGGUGGGGGUUGGAAAGUUCCGGCGGUUGGGGAUGGACUCGCGGCUUAUCAGCUUGUUGGUGGGGUAGUGGCUUACCAAGGGUUUGACGGGUAGCCGGCCUGAGAGGGUGACCGGCGACAUGAGGACUGAGGGACGGCCCAGACGCGUACGGGAGGCAGCAGUGGGGAAUAUUGCACAGUGGGCGGAAGCGUGAUGCAGCAACGCCGGGUGCGGGAUGACGGGUUUCGGGGUGUAAACCGCUGUGGCCUGUGACGAAGCGUGAGUGACGGUAAUGGGUAAAGAAGCACCGGCUAACUACGUG
rnacentral:rRNA from 1 species